ensembl:lncRNA
AUUGUAUUGUUAAACAGGCAGGUCGGAAGGUGACAAACAAUUGUGUUGUAGAUUUAUACAUAUAACUAUGUUUUUUUUUUUUUCUUAUCUGUCUUAAUUUUACAAUGUGAAUGCAGAAUACUCUCAGGGCUCUGAAAAAAACAACCAACCAACCAACACCAAACAAACAAACAAACAAACAAAACAGAUAACUUCCUUGGCCAAGUAAUAGAGGUGCCACACUGGACCUUUUCUCACCAAAAAGAAGAUAUGUCAGCCACUGCUCCCAGUGCUGUGUCAUCAGCAAAUUUACUGAGCGUGCAUUCCAUGCUUUCAUCCAGAUCACUGAUGAAGAUGUUAAACAAGAUUAGACUCAGUAACGCCCCCAGGGAACACUGCUGGCUACAGGCCGGUAACUAGACUCUGAACCACUGAUCACAGCCUUCUGAGUUCUGCCAAUCAGACAGUUCUCAGGCGACUUCACUGUCCACUCAUCUAUCCCACACUUCCUGAGCUGGUACCAUCUGGAUCAACUGUAGUGCAAAUGCUUCUCCUUCAGUUAACUUGACUAACAUGGGGGAGUGAAUAUGUGACUCAGUCUAACACUGAAUAUAGAAAGUAAACACCCAGCAAAAGAAUUUUUAAGAGUGCGGUAGGCUUAAGUUGGCUUCAACCCACCUAUUCCUUCCCUGAGGCUGCUCAGCAUCACGACAGUGACCAUAUUAUAUAUACCAGUAAUAGGAAUCACAGUAGUAUUGUGAUCAAACUUUAUUGCAGUCACUACAUGUUGUUAAGUGUAACUUACAUCUCUUUUGUGAUUUCAGUAUACUUUGUGUCACUCUGCUAAACCAGAAAUUGUGUGUAACAUUAAAUAUAUU